rnacentral:rRNA from 1 species
UACAGAGGGUGCAAGCGUUAUUCGGAAUUAUUGGGCGUAAAGCGCACGUAGGCGGUCUUGUAAGUCUGGUGUGAAAUCCCUGAACUCAAUUCAGGAAGUGCAUUGGAUACUGCGAGACUAGAGAAUGGGAGAGGAGAGCGGAAUUCCUGGUGUAGAGGUGAAAUUCGUAGAUAUCAGGAGGAACAACAGAGGCGAAGGCGGCUCUCUGGACCAUUUCUGACGCUGAAGUGCGAAAGCGUGGGGAGCAAACAGG